rnacentral:misc_RNA from 1 species
UUUCCGUAGGUGAACCUGCGGAAGGAUUAUUAACGAAUAACUAUGGUGUCUUGGUUGUAGCUGGCUCCUCGGAGCAAUGUGCACGCCCGCCAUUUUUAUCUUUCCACCUGUGCACCGACUGUAGGUCUGGAUGACUCUCGCACUCCGGUGCGGAUGCGAGGAUUGCUCUCGGGCUCUCCUCGAAUUUCCAGGCUCUACGUCUUUUUACACACCCCAAACGUAUGAUACAGAAUGUAGUCAAUGGGCUUGAUCGCCUAUAAAACACUAUACAACUUUCAGCAACGGAUCUCUUGGCUCUC